UCUCAUAUACUUUCUUAGUGAAAGGAAUUGUUUUUCCCAUCUCCGUAACUAGGGUAGAGUAAUGAUCAUGUACUUAGGCCGGUCACCGGUGUAUCGAAGGCAACAAAGGUACCGAUGUUUUCAGCAAAAGUGUACGUGAUAUCCUAUUAUUGGUAUGAAGUUGUCAGAUAAACUUGUUGAAAGCUCUUCAACAGCGCUGGCUAAGUGGCUAAGGAGAAGACAGGGGACAUGAUGAUCUCGGCAUCCGUUACACCGUUAACGGCAAUUUUAGUAGGGUUCAUUACAUACCCAGCCGGGCCAAAUUAAUUAGUUUAGUAGGCUACCCAAAAAAGCCCGCUUUAAACCUAUAGGCCCAAACAACUACUACUAUAAAAUCACGGCCGGUGAAAGCUAGAUUUCAUCUCCUCGUCUUUAAUUAGGGCAAAAUCUUAGCUUUUAAAUUGAGGGUUUGUUUCCUCUGUUGUUUUCAGAUGGAGGGGUCUUGUAUUGACUUUGUUGUAUUGCUAAAUAGUGACUUAUCAUUCAAAAUCAUCUCCAAUCUGAAUAAUCCAGCUGAUGUUGUUCGCGCUAGUUCCGUUUCUCGUUUUUGGCGCCAGUUUGUGAUUGCUAGUGAAUUCUCUAAGAGUCUUUGCUUAAGAUUGUUCCCAGAAACAUUAAGUUCUAUUAAAGCAAUUAAGAAAACAAUGUAAUACAGUCUAUGGGGUGGUAGUGGAGGAGUGGAAAAGUUGAAGAAAAACCACGAAGUUUAGCACAUUCGUUGACAAAAGAAUGCAUAUUGGAAGCUAUAUGUGCGUCUAGUAGUCGUUCUAAUGCAGAAGAUAUUCACCAGACAUUGAUUCCUGGAGUUCUUUUUCAAGGGAGGUUUUCUUACUGGUCAAGUCCAGACUAAUCCUGAGGUGCCUGAGACAUUGACGUAUAGAUUAGUAUCCAAAUUGUGUUUCAUUAAUGAGAUCCAUAUCGAACCAUUCCAAGGUUAUUAUGUUAUGUUCAUGCUAUCUUGGUGCAUAGUUAUAUAUGGUUUGACCCCAUUAUGUUGGUUUUGGUUUAUUUCUAGAUUGCGUAAUUCUUUUGUGCACAGUGUUUUCCGAGCAUAAUUUAUAUUCAGCCAAGGAUGUGCGAUUUAGAAUGGGCCAUGUCAGGGAACCGCAACGAGAGAGAUAUCUUACGAGUGAUUAUGGCGCCGGUAAAUCCAUUGAAGAUCAUGUAGUGUGGACAUACACCUCGAAAAAGUUUCCAAUGAGACAGGAUGGCUAUUUGCAGAAGUUCAAGUUACCAGAACCUGUUCUUGCCAUUAGUGGACUUCUGCAGAUUGAAUUAUUGGGUCGCGUCCAGGCUGGAGUGUAUAAUGGUUUAUACAACUUACGUGUGUCUCACGUUCAAGUAGUAGGACGCCCACUUACAGAUGAUUUCAUUGCUGAGUUAAUUGAUUACUCUGGGAAAUGCGUCUUAAAGUACAACCCAGAACGAGCUACAUGUAACUAUUGGGGAUGGAGCAGCUAAUAAGUAUUAUAAGAAGUUUGGGACUCCAUUUAUCCCCUCCGCAAUCCUCUGGAGCACUUGGGCAUAACGAAGCCGAAGAGCUUUUUCAGAAAAAAAUGCCAAACCAAGGAUGAAGCCAUAGAAUCAGUGAGGACUCUAGCGCAAUUUCUACUCGUUGGGGGAUACAGUUUUCGACUUUUUGCCACCUAAACAUUAGUUUUAGUCUGUAAUCCAUGGAAAAUUUUGCUUCUCUUACAAUGAUCCCAGUGUUCAAGAAAGGGUCUUCAAGAAAUUCUAUGAGACAUUGGCGGAAACUAAAAACAAGAACAACCGUGGCUAUAGAUCUACCAUCUUAAAAAACUUGACGCGGCUACAGAUGUACCAUCUUGAAAUAGUUGACGUCCUUUAAGAUAAUGUAUGGAGAAGAGAAUUGUUCUGGUGUCACCAUUGCAAGUUUGUCUAUUCCUCAGGGUUAGUUAGCAUAUUUGCCUCCUAUUCAAGGACUAUGUUCAAGUUUUGUACCACCAUUGUUAUAUGCGGUUCUUGGAAGUUCAAGACAUUUAGCAGUUGGUCCAGUAUCAAUAGCAUCACUAGUAAUGGGUUCUAUGCUUAAACAAGUAGUCUCACCAACUGAAGUCUGAAGAUAAGAAUUCAUUUGGGCUAUUUUCUAUGCAGUUCAGAAUUUACUUGGAACUGCUUCUACAUGGUUCUUAAUCGAUAUUGCUUAUUACAGUCAGAAUUAGUUUCAGAAGGUUAUCUUUAGUGCACUUGGAUGGAUUCCACCAGCAAAAACUAUGAAUAGGAAUUCCUCAGAUUAUGCUCGGUUGCAUCAACCUUUUGGGUGCAUUGUUUACAUUUUUGGUGCCAGAACCUAAUGGAAGAUUGCUUGAAGAUAUGUCUGUUAAGAACAAAGAAGAUGAAACUGUUUCUACGUCAAGAAGUGUACAAAUAGUUUGCAGCGUAUUAGUAGUAUAACUAUUUCAUUUUUGAAGCGUCUAUAUAUGGCUAUGUACAUCUUAGAUGAGUUUCAA